rnacentral:rRNA from 1 species
AUUGAACGCUGGCGGCAUGCUUUACACAUGCCAGUCGAGCGGUAACAGGCCUUCGGGUGCUGACGAGUGGCGAACGGGUGCGUAAUGCAUCGGAACGUACCCAGAGGUGGGGGAUAACGCAGCGAAAGCUGUGCUAAUACCGCAUGUGAUCUGAGGAUGAAAGCGGGGGACCGAGCAGCAAUGUUUGGCCUCGCGCCUUUGGAGCGGCCGAUGUCGGAUUGGCUAGUUGGUGGGGUAAAGGCCUACCAAGGCGACGAUCCGUAGCUGGUCUGAGAGGACGACCAGCCACACUGGGACUGAGACACGGCCCAGACUCCUACGGGAGGCAGCAGUGGGGAAUUUUGGACAAUGGGCGCAAGCCUGAUCCAGCAAUGCCGCGUGCGGGAAGAAGGCCUUCGGGUUGUAAACCGCUUUUGGCAGGAACGAAACGGUGUCCGCUAAUACCGGGCGCUAAUGACGGUACCUGCAGAAUAAGCACCGGCUAACUACGUG